UAGGGUGUUGCUAUGCGGUUGCUAGGGUACCCUGAGUGGUUGCUAAGGUGUUGCUAUGCGGUUGCUAGGGUAUCUGGGAUGGUUGCUAGGGUGUUGCUAUGCGGUUGCUAGGGUACCCUGAGUGGUUGCUAAGGUGUUGCUAUGCGGUUGCUAGGGUAUCUGGGAUGGUUGCUAGGGUGUUGCUAUGCGGUUGCUAGGGUACCCUGAGUGGUUGCUAAGGUGUUGCUAUGCGGUUGCUAGGGUAUCUGGGAUGGUUGCUAGGGUGUUGAUAUGCGGUUGCUAGGGUACCCUGAGUGGUUGCUAAGGUGUUGCUAUGCGGUUGCUAGGGUAUCUGGGAUGGUUGCUAGGGUGUUGCUAUGCGGUUGCUAGGGUACCCUGAGUGGUUGCUAAGGUGUUGCUAUGUGGUUGCUAGGAUACCCUGGGUGGUUUCUAGGUUGGUUUGGAUAGUUGCUAGAGUGUUGCUAUGAAGAUAGAUAGAUAGAUAGAUAGAUAGAUAGAUAGAUAGAUAGAUAGAUAGAUAGAUAGAUAGAUAGAUAGAUAGAUAGAUAGAUAGAUUAGAAACAGUCAGAUUAUAGAUAGAUAGAUAGAUAGAUAGAUAGAUAGAUAGAUAGAUAGAUAGAUAGAUAGAUUAGUUUUAAUAUAGAUGGAUAGAGAGAUAGAUUAGUUUUAAUAUAGAUGGAUAGAUAGAUAGAUUAGUUUUAAUAUAGAUAGAUAGAUUAGUUUUAAUAUAGAUAGAUAGAUAGAUGGAUAGAUAGAUACAGUCAGAAGAUAGA